rnacentral:sRNA from 1 species
UUUAUAAAAAUAAAAUUUGCAAGUUUUAAUAUAUAUUACUUUUAAAAAAUAAAUCGUCCCGCGGUAUAUCGCGGGUUAAAAUCUAGUAAAGAUGUUAUUACGUAAGUUACUCAUAUUUCUUUUACGUU